GUUUGAUCCUGGCUCAGGAUGAACGCUGGCGGCGUGCCUGAGAUAUGCAAGUUGAGCGUCUCCCGCUUUGCGGAGUAGCGGCAGACGGCUGAGUAACGCGUAGGAACCUACCCUUAGGUGGAGGAUAGCCUACCGAAAGGUGGGGUAAUACUCCAUAGUUUUCGAUUUGAUUAUCGGAAUAAAGGGCGAAACUUCCCGCCUAAGGACGGGCCUGCGUCCUAUCAGGUAGUUGGUAGGGUAAUGGCCUACCAAGCCAAUGACGGGUAGCUGGCCUUAUGAGGGUGGUCAGCCAGAGGGGCACUGAGACACGGGCCCCACUCCUACGGGAGGCAGCAAUCAGGAAUCGUUGGCAAUGGGCGAAAGCUGACCACGCGACGCCGCGUGCGGGAUGAAGCCCUUUUUGGGUGUAAACCGCUGUGGUAGGGGAAGAAACUCCGCGAUGCGGAGCUGACGGUACCCUACUAGAAAGGGGCCGCUAACUACGUGCCAGAAGCGUCGGUAAGACGUAGGCCCCAAGCGUUAUCCGGUCUUACUGGGUGUAAAAGGUCGCGUAGGCGUCUUGGUAAGUUUUCGCUUAAAUCCUAAGGCUCAACCUUAAGGUCGCGCGAAAAUACUGCCAAGAUAGAGACUUCUUUAAGGAGACUGGAAUUCAGGGAGGAGGGGUGAAAUCCGUUGAUACCCUGAAGAACACCAGUGGCGAAGGCGAGUCUCUGGAAGAAGUCUGACGCUGAGGCACGAAAGCUAGGGGAGCGAACCGGAUUAGAGACCCGGGUAGUCCUAGCCGUAAACGCAUGCUUGCUAGCUGUAUUCUCCCUUUAUUAUGAAGGGAGGGUAUGGCGAAGGUAACCCGUUAAGCAAGCUACCUGGGGAGUACGGCCGCAAGGCUAAAACUCAAAGGAAUUGGCGGGGAGACACACAACCAGUGGAACAUGUGGUUCAAUUCGAGACAAACCGAAGAACCUCACCAAGGCUUGACAUCCCGCUGCACGCCCUGCGAAAGCGGGGAAGCCUUCGAGGGUGCGGGACAGGUGCUGCAUGGCUGUCGUCAGCUCGUUCCGUGAGGAGUGCCCUUAAGUGGGACAACGAGCGCAACCCCUGCCUGUGUUAUAUGUGUCACCAGGGACUGCCUCCGCUUUGCGGGGGAGGAAGGAAGGGCGGACGUCAAGUCAGCAUGGUCCUUAUGCCUUGGGCUACACACAUGUUACAAUGGGCAAGACAACGGGUUGCAACACCGCAAGGUGAGGCUAAUCCCUUAAACUUGCUCUCAGUGGGGAUUGGGGUCUGCAACUCGACCCCAUGAACGCGGAAUUGGUAGUAAUCGCCGGUCASCAUACGGCGGUGAAUACGUUCUUGUCUCUUGCACACACCGCCCGUCAAGCCAACAAAGUCGGUGAUAUCUGAAACCCGAGGUUUUCUCGGACUAAGAUAUUGCCGGCGAUGGGGGUUAAGUCGUAACAAGGUAGCCG
rnacentral:rRNA from 1 species